UGUACAAUUGCUUGAUGCGGGUGGUCCUU
rnacentral:piRNA from 1 species